UACGUAGGGUGCGAGCGUUGUCCGGAAUUAUUGGGCGUAAAGAGCUCGUAGGCGGUCCGUCGCGUCGAAAUGUGAAAACCCGGGGCUCAACUCCGGGCUUGCAUUCGAUACGGGCGGACUAGAGUUCGGUAGGGGAGACUGGAAUUCCUGGUGUAGCGGUGAAAUGCGCAGAUAUCAGGAGGAACACCAAAUUGCGAAGGCAGCUCGCUGGGACGUCACUGACGCUGAGACGCGAAAGCGUGGGGAGCAACAGG
rnacentral:rRNA from 1 species